CCUACGGGAGGCAGCAGUGGGGAAUAUUGGGCAAUGGGCGCAAGCCUGACCCAGCAACGCCGCGUGAAGGAAGAAGGCUUUCGGGUUGUAAACUUCUUUUCUCAGGGACGAAGAAAGUGACGGUACCUGAGGACUAAGCCACGGCUAACUACGUGCCAGCAGCCGCGGUAAUACGUAGGUGGCAAGCGUUAUCCGGAUUUACUGGGUGUAAAGGGCGUGUAGGCGGGAAAGCAAGUCAGAUGUGAAAACCAUGGGCUCAACCUGUGGCCUGCAUUUGAAACUGUUUUUCUUGAGUACUGGAGAGGCAGACGGAAUUCCUAGUGUAGCGGUGAAAUGCGUAGAUAUUAGGAGGAACACCAGUGGCGAAGGCGGUAUGCUGGACAGCAACUGACGCUGAGGCGCGAAAGCGUGGGGAGCAAACAGGAUUAGAUACCCCAGUAGUC
rnacentral:rRNA from 1 species